AGAAGAAUGUCCACAUUCAGGGACGUAAGACGUGGCAGGGAUGUAAAACGUCAAGGACGUCGGAUCCUAAUCAGAUUCAGAUCGUCAUCAGUUCCAGCUUGGACACCAGCAAGGACCCAUUACAUCCCAUAGUUGUGCCCAGUUUUGAGGAAGCGGUCAAGGUCGCAACGUCACCGGAAGUAAAGAGUCAGGCGGAGUCCAUAUGGAUCAUCGGGGGUCAACGUGUGUACGAGGCAGCGAUUGCCCAUCCGCUGUGCAAGCACAUCUAUCUUACAAGGAUCUACAGGGACUAUGAUUCCGAUGUCUUCUUUCCCUCUUUCGAAGAUACAUUCACGGAGAGCAGUGACCCGGAUGUGGAUGGGAAGAUGAGAGAGGAUAACGGAAUUCAGUUCCGGUUUGAAGUUUAUGACCGGAAGUGACGACAAACAGCCACAUCAGAACCUUGAGUGCAGAAGACCCAUACUGAAUAUUACGUGGAAGAUUUUGAAUGUCUCCAAUCACGUUUCAGUAGUGUAUGUUCUAACCAUCUGGGAAUGGGUUGUUGUCCUUUAAA